UCAUAAUAAAUUGAUUAAGAUUUAUUUAUUUAUAUUUUUAUUUAUAUGUUUAAAAUAUUAAAAAUAAUUAAAAAAUUUAUUGUUUUAGUAAUUUAUAAUAAAAAAAUAAAUUUAAUAAUAGUGAAUUAGUAUUGUAAAAGAAUAUUGAAAUAAGUUGAAAAAUUUUUAAUAAAAAAGAAAAUUUAGUUUAUUGUACCUUGUGUAUCAGGGUUGAUUAAUUUAAAGAUAUAAAUAUAUUUUUCUCGAUUUUAAAAGAGUUAAUAAAUUAUUAAAGUUAUUGUAUUAAAAUUAUUUUAAAUAAUUUAUUAGAAAUGAAAUGUUAUUCGUUUUUAAUGGUAUCUAGUUUUUUUAGAAAUAAAUUGAAUUUAUAAGUUUAAAAUUUAUUUAAUUAAAUUUUUAAUUAAAUAUUUUUAAAUUUAAAUAUUUUAUGGGAUAAGCUAUAAAAUAAAAUUUUAAAAAUAUAAAAAAUAGAAAAAAAAUAUAAGCUUAGAAGUAGCAAUUAUUUGUAAAUUUGUUAUAAAUUAUUUUUUAAAUUAAAUUAUUUUUUUAAUUUUAAAUUUUUAUAAAAAAAUUUUUAUAAAUUUUUAAUAAAAAAUUAUAAUGAUUAAAUUAGUAUAUAUGUAUUGUAAAUUUAUUUUAAAAUGUUAAGUUUAUUUAAAGAAUUCGGCAAAGUAAAUAUUCGCCUGUUUAACAAAAACAUGUCUUUUUGAAUUAAAUUAAAAGUCUAACCUGCCCACUGAAUAAUUAAAUGGCCGCAGUAUAUUAACUGUGCAAAGGUAGCAUAAUCAUUAGUCUUUUAAUUGAAGGCUGGAAUGAAUGGUUGGACGAAAUAUUAACUGUUUCAAUUGAAUUUAUUAUAGAAUUUUAUUUUUUAGUCAAAAAGCUAAAAUUUUUUUAAAAGACGAGAAGACCCUAUAAAUCUUUAUAAUUUUUUUGUAAUAAUAAUAUAGAAUAAUUUUUUUAUUAUAAAUUGAAUUACUUUAUUGGGGUGAUAUUAAAAUUUAAUAAACUUUUAAUUUGUUAAGUCAUUAAUUUAUGAAUUUUUGAUCCAAUUUUAUUGAUUAAAAAUUUAAGUUACUUUAGGGAUAACAGCGUAAUUUUUUUGGAGAGUUCUUAUCGAUAAAAAAGAUUGCGACCUCGAUGUUGGAUUAAGAGAUAGGUUUAGGUGUAGCCGCUUAAAUAAUUAAGUCUGUUCGACUUUUAAAUUCUUACAUGAUCUGAGUUCAAACCGGUG
rnacentral:rRNA from 1 species